rnacentral:rRNA from 1 species
CCUGGCUCAGGACGAACGCUGGCGGCGCGCCUAACACAUGCAAGUCGAACGAGCGAGAGAGAGCUUGCUUUCUCGAGCGAGUGGCGAACGGGUGAGUAACGCGUGAGGAACCUGCCUCAAAGAGGGGGACAACAGUUGGAAACGACUGCUAAUACCGCAUAAGCCCACGGCUCGGCAUCGAGCAGAGGGAAAAGGAGCAAUCCGCUUUGAGAUGGCCUCGCGUCCGAUUAGCUAGUUGGUGAGGUAAUGGCCCACCAAGGCGACGAUCGGUAGCCGGACUGAGAGGUUGAACGGCCACAUUGGGACUGAGACACGGCCCAGACUCCUACGGGAGGCAGCAGUGGGGAAUAUUGCACAAUGGGGGAAACCCUGAUGCAGCGACGCCGCGUGGAGGAAGAAGGUCUUCGGAUUGUAAACUCCUGUUGUUGGGGAAGAUAAUGACGGUACCCAACAAGGAAGUGACGGCUAACUACGUGCCAGCAGCCGCGGUAAAACGUAGGUCACAAGCGUUGUCCGGAAUUACUGGGUGUAAAGGGAGCGCAGGCGGGAAGACAAGUUGGAAGUGAAAUCUAUGGGCUCAACCCAUAAACUGCUUUCAAAACUGUUUUUCUUGAGUAGUGCAGAGGUAGGCGGAAUUCCCGGUGUAGCGGUGGAAUGCGUAGAUAUCGGGAGGAACACCAGUGGCGAAGGCGGCCUACUGGGCACCAACUGACGCUGAGGCUCGAAAGUGUGGGUAGCAAACAGGAUUAGAUACCCUGGUAGUCCGCACCGUAAACGAUGAUUACUAGGUGUUGGAGGAUUGACCCCUUCAGUGCCGCAGUUAACACAAUAAGUAAUCCACCUGGGGAGUACGACCG